ensembl:lncRNA
UUUUUUUUUUUUUUUUGCUUUUAGGGGCCAAAUCUGUAGUGUAUGGAGAUUCCCAGGCUGGAGGCCACAUUGGAGCUGCAGCUGCCAGCCUAUACCACAACUCACAGCAACUUCGGAUCCUUGACCCACUGAGCAAGGCCAGGGAUUAAACCCGCAUCCUCAUGGAUACUAGUCGGGUUCUUUAGGGCUGAGCCAUGAUGGGAACGCCUGUUAUAACCCUUACAACUUUCCCCCACAGUCAUCGGGGCCCAAGACUGAGGGAUGGGAAGCAGUUUGGGUCCCUUAGUACCUGAGAGCAGGCAGAGAUGAAAUGCCCUUCCAUGACCACCCAAAGUCCACGUGAAGCCGUCCUGUCUCCAUGGAAACCUUCUACGCCUUCCCUGCAUGGCAACCCAAUGUUCUGAAAGGUGUGCUCCGUGUUCCUAAUUAUUGCCCCUUCAGUAGCCAACAGGAGUUUUUCUUCCUGGCCAUUCUGGGCCAAAUGCAUAUCUACUUUCAAUGAACAUGAACUAUGGUAACCCAAGGCCUCACUUGGUGUAUUUGGCCCUUCACGUCUAAAGAUGAGGCUACCUCUGUCACAAAAUCCUACAGAUACACGUGUGCCCCUCAUUCCAUGUGGCCUGACUUCCUGUUGGCCUUGUUUCCACACUUCUCUCUUUCCAACUUUAAGAACACAUUAUAGUUAUAGGUUAUAUAGUGCUUUUCUCUCCAAACUACCAAUUGAAGUAACACCGAUAACACACAUAGAUUACAUUUAUGUGCCUGAUGUGUGGAUUUGCAAUGUUAGUUAUUUUGCAUUAUACAUAUAUAUAUCUAACCUCCCUGAGUAGAACAGGGACUCCUGGAGUGAAAGGGAGGAACUCACCACUCCCUCUAUCUUCCUUGGCCCCAAUAUCAUCUGGAGGUUGAGGCCUUCUAAAAUGGACGAGCAUAUGCUCACUCAGGGAGCCUUUCAAACCUGUUCCUGCUGCUUCCCAGGAGCUCGGAACCCCAGCAUGGAGGACGUGUUGGGGAGGAGCCUGCAGCAGCGACAAUGACAGCCAGUUGUCCCGAUCAAACUUCGCGGCAGACUCCCUUCACAGAAACUACAACUAAGCUUGGCUACAGAGGGGAGGGCUGCAGUGGUGCCCAGGCCUGGAAAUCAGCAGCCAGUGUGCCCUUCAGUGAAUAGGCAAGCUCUGCGAUUGCUUUUUGGCAAGCUCCUGGCUUACUUUAGCCAGGCACCAGGACCUGACGACUGAAUGUUCUUGUGGAUGCAGUCCUGGCCACCCAAGACUUCCCAGAAAGAUAGGAGCCGGCUCCCAAGAUACUGGGAGAAGGGAGCAGGACUCAGACAGGUGGUCCCAGCAUCUGGCCUGGUUCGCUACACAGCUGGCGGAAAUAUGAGGGCCACAUAGCUAGGUUAUCCAUGCCAUCUUCUCCAGGGAGGAAUAGGAAAGAGGUUCUGAAAUCAGACAGACCUGAGGUUAAACCCAGCUCUGAGGAGCUGGGGUCACAGCACAUCAUUUAUCUUCCUGGAGUGUCACUUUCCUCCCAGGAAAGAUGUGCAGAUGCAUGAGAUUAUACACACACAGUAUCUGGCACAUACUUCUUGCACAGUGCAUGUGGGUGCUCGUCUGCUUUAUUCUGCUUUCUUUCUUUUUUUUUUUUUUUUUUAGGGCUGCACCCAUGGCAUAUGGAGGUUCCAACAUCAGAAGUGAUCCAGACAAACCACGGGCAGAGGGCACAGGGAGAAGUGGAGAGACCAGUUAGGAGGCCAUGGCAGUCACCCUGGCAGGAGACAGCGGAGACUCAGAACAGGGUAGUGGACACGCAAAGGGGGGUGUCAAGAGUCUGGAUUUUUUUCCUUCUUUGACACUCAACUUCCCAAUCUGUAUGAGUCUCAGCACCCCCUUUCCACUUUCUAGGGAGCUAUAAAAAUAAGUGGAAAACAACCAUAUGGACAUGCUUAGGAUGACUUCAAUUUAAAAAUGACACUGAAAACUCAUGGGGGGAUGGAUUCAUUCUUGCACGAAGCUUGAGGAUGAGGCUGGGGGUUCCCCAUGGGAGUCCAUCUUUCAUGUGUCUGCACACACACACACACACACACACACACUCAAAAGCGGAAGACAGCACCUCCUGGACCAAAGCAGCCCUGCCAGGAGACCUGCUAGGACACUUUUAGCCACAUGACCAUGCGUGACUUAUUUAAUGUCCACGAGGCUUCGUUCCUCCUGAGCAAACAGGAUAAAACAUGGACAGAUGAGGCUUGGGGGACAAUGACAAGAACAAAUGUGGGUAAAGCGCUUGGUACCUAGUACAGUCUCAAUACAUCUGAGUGCCUCCCUUACUGCGCAUGCCCCUUAGAAACCAACCCCACCCUGGGAGGGGAAAGCCGCGGGUCCUCCAGAAUGGAGACGAAUCCACUGGUAAAUAACUGGGAAGCAGCUACACUGCUCUUAUCGUUUUACUGUCCUGUUUACCGUGAUUAAAAACAACUGCCUUCACCACAUCCUGGUGGACCGUGUCACCGAAGCUCCCUCGGAUCAACGUGAUACCCUGGACUCGGAGGCGGCCUCAGGAACGGGAGAGACAGGGCCAGGGCUCAGGAGCAUGCAGGGAAGGGUGUGCUGGCUCUGAGGAUGCAGCCUGGACAGGCCUCUCUGGGAAGGGGUCAACGUCAGGGUGACCAGGCAUCUGUCAGGAGGCAGGGAUGGAGGGAAGAUGGUUCCCAAGGCCAAGGCCUGUCUGUCUGCCCAGUCUGUGGCUUCAUAACACCAGCCUUCCCCCCAGGUUCCUCCUCUCCUAGCCCUGCUCUGAAGAGUCACACGACAAGCCACACUUGACUCCUGACAUUCAGUGCUCCCCAGGGUAGAUGACCACGUGGGAGGAGAAGGCGGUGCAGGGUGCUUUGGCACAAUGGAAAGAAGGCAGGAGAGGGAGUUUCCACCAUGGCUCAGCAGUAACGCACCCGACUAGUAACCAUGAAGCCAUAGGUUCGAUCCCUGGCCUCGCUCAGCGGGAUAAGAAUCCGGUGUUGCCAUGAGCUGCGGUGUAGGUCACAGAUGUGGCUCGGAUCUCACCUUGCUGUGGCUGUGGCGUAGGCCAGCAGCUGCAGCUCUGAUUCGACCCCUAGCUUGGGAACCUCCAUAUGCCAUGGGUGCGGCCCCCAAAAAAUAGACAAAAAAGAAAGAAGACAGGAGAGGCGGGGAGGAAAGGGAUUCAGUGAACAGAAAGAAGACGCAGCACUCAAUCCCCAAAUCUGUGCUGAGGUGGCCUUUGCAGACCCUGCCAGAAUUCUGUCUGGUCAGUUCUGUUCCUAACUCAGUUCCAUACACAUUUAGAGAGACCCUCUGCAGCAGGAGGCUGGAAGCUGCAGGUGGCUGGGUGAGCCACCCUGCCAGGCCAGUGUCGCAAAGAGGGGAGGCCUGGAGGUGGUGAGCCAGUCUCACGCCCUGACCGUAGGGUGGUCAGCCGAGGGCACCCCAGCAGGCUGGCCCUGGAGUUCCCAAGUUGACCCAUCCCUGGCUUUCUCCAGCCCCCUGCUCCUCUGAGAGAGGCCUCAUCAACUAAGGCAGCACAGGCGGGGGCCCCCAGAUGAGCAGCAGUAGCAGGAGGGGAGGGCGGGGGGCCCAGCAGGGAGUUUCUAUUUCUAACCUGAUGUGGCAGUCAGCAGCAGCUGCAGGAUGACAGCAGCAGACAGCUCUGACUAGUGAGCAGCUUGCUCAAUGGGGAUGGCGCUAAGGACCCAGCCCACAAGGUGGGGAGCCUCAGGCCUCCCGCCCCAGUGUACCUUUUCCCGGGGGUGGCAGCUUUGGGUAUAACAGCCCCAAGAGCCACUGAAUGCUCCCAGCAGGGUGGGCAGGCUUGGGGAAGCCAGGGGCAAAAGAGCUGAGAAAUUGGCCCCAGGCUGCCAUGGGGCAAACGGGGGCUCAGCAAGCUGAGUCUCUUCCCCAUCAUGUUGGAAGCACCAUCAUCCCCAAGGCCAAGGCCUUUGCCUCUUUGGAGACAUCCCUCCCCUAAAAUUCUAAAACAAUGGUGUCCAAAGGUGUCCGAACAGUCAGUUCCUUCACGUCAUCUUACAGAUGAGAAAACGAAGCCCAGGGUAAGAACUAGGGAAUAAAGCAUCAGGAAGAGUGGGCUUGAAUCCAAUUCUGCUUCCAUGAGCUUCCGUUUCCUUAUCCGCAGAAGGAAGGUAAAGACAGCGCCCCCGUCACACAGCCGCUGUGAAGGUCAGACGAGUUGCGUCUGUAAUGUUCUACGCGGUCUGGGCGCGAUGAGCAGUGACUCUUGCUCCUUUUAUCACUGUCAUCUUCUCCCAAGCCACACAGCUGGCCCAAGGCAAGCCUGGGUAUGGGUCUCCUUCCUCCGACCCCACUCCCACCUUGCCCCCCCUGCUCCUGCAGCCUGGGUGCCCUUCUCCUGGGGGCAGUGACAUAGCUGCUCUGUUAUCACCGAAGGGCAGCUUUGGAAGGUGAUGGGAUCCAAGGCAGUUUCUUGGACUUACAGCCAAGAAAGACAACCCCUUCCAAGGGCCAUGCCACCAGUGCCCAAGGAAACUCAAAGGGGAAGGGACAGAGGAGGCAGGAGGAGACCACUGGGCAGAGCUCUUGCUUUUCGGGAACAACAAAGCUCCCAGCUUUCAGAAAGCCUUUAUAUCCAGCCCAGUCAUCUCAGCGGCCACCUGCUAUCACCACUCCAUCCAAGCCAGCUCAAUCCUGAACACCUAGCAAAUAGGGAAUUCUACAGUCUGUGCCUAGGGCAGGCGGCCCUCUUGGGUGUGGCGGUGGUGCUGCCCACUUUACUUUGCUCCAGCGCCCUACCGGGAGAGUGGGAGGAGCCCCAUUCUCAGCUCAAGCUCCUCUCCUCCGAGACACCCUCCCUGGCCUUCUUCUCCACUCAGCAUUGUUCCUCAGAACCCACAGCUUGGUCCUGAAUGGUGCCC